rnacentral:rRNA from 1 species
CGGGGGGGGGGCAAGCGUUAUUCGGGAAUUACUGGGCGUAAAGGGCUCGUAGGCGGCCAACUAAGUCACACGUGAAAUCCCUCGGGCUCAACCGGGGGUACUGCGUGUGAUACUGGAUGGCUCGAGUUCGGGAGAGGGAUGCGGAAUUCCAGGUGUAGCGGUGAAAUGCGUAGAUAUCUGGAGGAACACCGGUGGCGAAGGCGGCAUCCUGGACCGAGACUGACGCUGAGUGAGCGAAAGCCAGGGGAGCAAACGGGAUUAGAUACCCCGGUAGUCCUGGCCCUAAACGAUGAAUGCUUGGUGUGGCGGGUAUCGAUCCCUGCCGUGCCGAAGCUAACGCAUUAAGCAUUCCGCCUGGGGAGUACGGUCGCAAGGCUG